rnacentral:rRNA from 1 species
GACGAACGCUGGCGGCGUGCCUAAUACAUGCAAGUUGAGCGCUGAAGGUUGGUACUUGUACCAACUGGAUGAGCAGCGAACGGGUGAGUAACGCGUGGGGAAUCUGCCUUUGAGCGGGGGACAACAUUUGGAAACGAAUGCUAAUACCGCAUAAAAACUUUAAACACAAGUUUUAAGUUUGAAAGAUGCACUUGCAUCACUCAAAGAUGAUCCCGCGUUGUAUUAGCUAGUUGGUGAGGUAAAGGCUCACCAAGGCGAUGAUACAUAGCCGACCUGAGAGGGUGAUCGGCCACAUUGGGACGGAGACACGGCCCAAACUCCUACGGGAGGCAGCAGGAGGGAAUCUUCGGCAAUGGACGAAAGUCUGACCGAGCAACGCCGCGGGAGUGAAGAAGGGUUUCGGAUCGUAAAACUCUGUUGGUAGAGAAGAACGUUGGUGAGAGUGGAAAGCUCAUCAAGUGACGGUAACUACCCAGAAAGGGACGGCUAACUACGUG